CUGGCUCAGACGAACGCUGGCGGCGCGUUUAAGCAUGCAAGUCGAGCGGCAAGGCCUUCGGGCCCCUAGAGCGGCGGACGGGUGAGUAACACGUGGACAAUCUCGCCCCCCGGCCCGGGAUAGCCCAGGGAAACCUGGAUUAAUACCGGAUGAGACGGGACCCGCGAUGGCGGGAUCCGGGAAAGGCGCUGCGGCGCCGCCGGGGGAUGAGUCUGCGUCCCAUUAGCUAGACGGCGGGGUAACGGCCCACCGUGGCGACGAUGGGUAGCCGGCCUGAGAGGGUGGACGGCCACAUUGGAACUGAGACACGGCCCAGACUCCUACGGGAGGCAGCAGCUAAGAAUCUUCCGCAAUGGGCGAAAGCCUGACGGAGCGACGCCCGCGUGAACGAAGAAGGCCGUGAGGUUGUAAAGUUCUUUUCGGGAGGGGGAACAACCGUGGCAGGGAAUGGCCGCGGGAUGACGUGAAUCCCGGAAUAAGCCCCGGCUAACUACGUGCCAGCAGCCGC
rnacentral:rRNA from 1 species